GCAAGAGAAAUUGGAGUUGAUGCAAGUGCCAACCAGCUUAAUCAGUGACUGGAUAAAUUGCAGUACUCCAACAUUCU
rnacentral:miRNA from 1 species